UACGUAGGGUGCGAGCGUUGUCCGGAAUUAUUGGGCGUAAAGAGCUCGUAGGCGGUUUGUCGCGUCUGCUGUGAAAACCCGAGGCUCAACCUCGGGCCUGCAGUGGGUACGGGCAGACUAGAGUGCGGUAGGGGGAGAUUGGAAUUCCUGGUGUAGCGGUGGAAUGCGCAGAUAUCAGGAGGAACACCGAUGGCGAAGGCAGGUCUCUGGGCCACUACUGACGCUGAGAAGCGAAAGCGUGGGGAGCGAACAGG
rnacentral:rRNA from 1 species